AAUGUUAAUAUAUUUUUGUCUACGUGUGGUGUCAUCAUCCGAGUCAACGAGUCGCCAACCGAGUCGAAGUAGCUGACGCGUCUUCAAACUCAAAAGCUUAUUUCGUUGAAAUUUCAUUAGACGCCACAUUUUACUCCUCCUUCUUUCUCUACCUAUAAAUACCAUUUUUUUCUUCCUUAAAUUCAAAUUCAAUAACAUACCCUUUUAUUUUUAAAUUUUCUCACCUCUUUAUACUUCAUUUGCUCAACUUUUCCAUCAUUUUCUAGCUUCUUUUAUUUCUCCAAGAAAAUAAUGAAGAGAAUGAAUAUUUUCUUCUUUCCACUUUUUAGUUUAUUUUUCAUGGCAAUUUCUCAUAUGGGUCAUGCUCAGAAUCUUGAUCUUUCUCCAGCACCUGCUCCUACCAGUGAUGGCACUGCUCUGGAUCAAGGUGUUGCUUAUUUUCUUAUGAUGCUGGCACUGGUGAUUACAUAUAUGUUCCAUUGAUUUUAUUUUAAUUUUUUCUUGAUUAUUGUUCAAGGAAAUUCCAGAAUUUUUUGUAAUUAUUAUUGAUGAAUUUUAAUAUUAAUAGUAUUCUUUGAUACAUGUCCUUCUUGUGCUUAGAGUUUUAUGGCGAA